AUAGAUUCUCACUUAAUAAAACAUCAUCAUUAUUGAAAGUUUAACAUUUUUAAUCUCAAAACUAAAGACAUGAAAAGUGUAUUCAUUAUUUUGCUUAUUCUUUCCAUUCAUUUUGGAAAUCAAGUGGAAAUGUUAGAGGCAAAACAAUGUAAUAAAAUUGUACCUGGUUUAUGUCGUAAGUCUGGAAGAAGUGUUCAAUGCAAAAUACAAUGCAAGUCAUUAUGUGGAACAUUUUCUGCACGUGGAGAAUGUGGGAGAGACAAAGAUUGUCAUUGUAGUUGUUGUUAAAUUAAUUAGUUAUAUAAUGAUGAAAAUAUAAUAAAGUCUCCUGAUAUAAUAGAGACAAGAUAUAAUGUAAAGUAUGUAUGAUAGAUGUAUGAUAUCACAUAGACAUGAUAAUUAUAUAGCAUCAUGUGUUUAAUGUGCAUGUAAUAUCAAAUAGUAACUAGUAAUAUAUUUUUUAUAGUA